UACGAAGGGGGCUAGCGUUGUUCGGAAUUACUGGGCGUAAAGCGCACGUAGGCGGAUACUUAAGUUAGGGGUGAAAUCCCAGAGCUCAACUCUGGAACUGCCUCUAAUACUGGGUAUCUCGAGUCCGGAAGAGGUGAGUGGAAUUCCGAGUGUAGAGGUGAAAUUCGUAGAUAUUAGGAAGAACACCAGUGGCGAAGGCGGCUCACUGGCCCGGUACUGACGCUGAGGCGCGAAAGCGUGGGGAGCAAACAGG
rnacentral:rRNA from 1 species